rnacentral:rRNA from 1 species
AGUUGCUAACAGGUGAAGCUGAGCACUCUAGACGAACUGCCGUUGACAAAACGGAGGAAGGUGGGGGAUGACGUCAAAUCAUCAUGCCCCUUAUGUUCUGGGCUACACACGUGCUACAAUGGCCGGUACAGACGGAGGCGAAGCCGCGAGGCGGAGCAAAACCGAAAAAGCCGGUCUCAGUUCGGAUUGCAGGCUGCAAUUCGCCUGCAUGAAGUCGGAAUCGCUAGUAAUCGCAGGUCAGCAUACUCGCGGUCCGAAUACGUUCCGGGCCUU